rnacentral:ncRNA from 1 species
CACCGCCCCUCACACUAUAGGAGCUGGCCAAGUUUGAAGUCAUUACCCUUAACCGUAAGGAGGGGGAUGCCUAAGGCUAGGCUUGCGACUGGAGUGAAGUUGUAACAAGGUAGCCGUACUGGAAGGUGCGGCUG